rnacentral:rRNA from 1 species
GGAUCGGAGUCUGNAACCCGACUACAUGAAGCUGGAAUCGCUAGUAAUCGCAGGUCAGCAUACUGCGGUGAAUACGUUCCCGGGUCUUGUACACACCGCCCGUCACACCAUGGGAGCCGGAAAUGCCCGAAGCCAGUGACCCAACCUUAGGGAGGGAGCUGUCGAAGGUGGAGCCGGUAACUGGGGUGAAGUCGUAACAAGGUAAC